GGGGCGUGGACCGACGCGG
rnacentral:siRNA from 1 species